rnacentral:rRNA from 1 species
GGCGGCAGGCCUAACACAUGCAAGUCGAACGGUAACAGGAAGAAGCUUGCUUCUUUGCUGACGAGUGGCGGACGGGUGAGUAAUGUCUGGGAAACUGCCUGAUGGAGGGGGAUAACUACUGGAAACGGUAGCUAAUACCGCAUAACGUCGCAAGACCAAAGAGGGGGACCUUCGGGCCUCUUGCCAUCGGAUGUGCCCAGAUGGGAUUAGCUAGUAGGUGGGGUAACGGCUCACCUAGGCGACGAUCCCUAGCUGGUCUGAGAGGAUGACCAGCCACACUGGAACUGAGACACGGUCCAGACUCCUACGGGAGGCAGCAGUGGGGAAUAUUGCACAAUGGGCGCAAGCCUGAUGCAGCCAUGCCGCGUGUAUGAAGAAGGCCUUCGGGUUGUAAAGUACUUUCAGCGGGGAGGAAGGGAGUAAAGUUAAUACCUUUGCUCAUUGACGUUACCCGCAGAAGAAGCACCGGCUAACUCCGUGCCAGCAGCCGCGGUAAUACGGAGGGUGCAAGCGUUAAUCGGAAUUACUGGGCGUAAAGCGCACGCAGGCGGUUUGUUAAGUCAGAUGUGAAAUCCCCGGGCUCAACCUGGGAACUGCAUCUGAUACUGGCAAGCUUGAGUCUCGUAGAGGGGGGUAGAAUUCCAGGUGUAGCGGUGAAAUGCGUAGAGAUCUGGAGGAAUACCGGUGGCGAAGGCGGCCCCCUGGACGAAGACUGACGCUCAGGUGCGAAAGCGUGGGGAGCAAACAGGAUUAGAUACCCCUGGUAGUCCACGCCGUAAACGAUGUCGACUUGGAGGUUGUGCCCUUGAGGCGUGGCUUCCGGAGCUAACGCGUUAAGUCGACCGCCUGGGGAGUACGGCCGCAAGGUUAAAACUCAAAUGAAUUGACGGGGGCCCGCACAAGCGGUGGAGCAUGUGGUUUAAUUCGAUGCAACGCGAAGAACCUUACCUGGUCUUGACAUCCACAGAACUUUCCAGAGAUGGAUUGGUGCCUUCGGGAACUGUGAGACAGGUGCUGCAUGGCUGUCGUCAGCUCGUGUUGUGAAAUGUUGGGUUAAGUCCCGCAACGAGCGCAACCCUUAUCCUUUGUUGCCAGCGGUCCGGCCGGGAACUCAAAGGAGACUGCCAGUGAUAAACUGGAGGAAGGUGGGGAUGACGUCAAGUCAUCAUGGCCCUUACGACCAGGGCUACACACGUGCUACAAUGGCGCAUACAAAGAGAAGCGACCUCGCGAGAGCAAGCGGACCUCAUAAAGUGCGUCGUAGUCCGGAUUGGAGUCUGCAACUCGACUCCAUGAAGUCGGAAUCGCUAGUAAUCGUGGAUCAGAAUGCCACGGUGAAUACGUUCCCGGGCCUUGUACACACCGCCCGUCACACCAUGGGAGUGGGUUGCAAAAGAAGUAGGUAGCUUAACCUUCGGGAGGGCGCUUACCACUUUGUGAUUCAUGACUGGGGUGAAGU